UUUUUUCUUUCCCAUGCAACAGAGUCAUAUGGUCAUCCAAUUCCUAUCUGUCAAUCACUAUUGUAAGGGAACCAUUUAUUUAAGGACAGUUGAUUGAACCCCUGUUAUGUGUUAAGCACCCGAACAACCCAAAACACACAUAGAAGGAACACGACGUCCCUCAAGGGGCUCACAAAAUCCCAAGUGAUGGUAGCCAAACACAGGCACAGGGUACAACAAGGACGAUGGUGACUGAUCCAGCGUAGGCUGGGGCUGCAGUGGUAAAGGUGGAGAAAGGCUGGAGAAGUUAGGGACUGUUUUCUGCUGAAGGAGACAACUUACUAAGUUUUAAAGAGCCACUAGCUCAUGUCAGAGAAGGAUCUGAAGCCAUAUGAUUUGGAAAGAACAUGAGUGCAUUCGGUUUUGGGUAUGUGGAGUUUGGGGUGCUGGUGACAUACCCGGGUGGAGAUGAUUCAAAUGUUUUGUUAUGUGUAGGGGUCCAGAAUUCAGGAGAGAGAGAAUCUGGGCUGGAGAUGUAGAGUUAGGGGUAUAUAGUUGGUGUGGUAGGGAUGCUGCCUUCUUGGUGAUAAAAGCCUUAACCAAGAGGUAGAAAUAAUUUUCUCUUCCUGUGAGCAAUUCUAACAGCUUGCCUUUACUGCUCUAAAGAUAUUAUGGCACUUUGCAUUUCAAUUUGUAUGUAGUUGGUAUCUCUCUCCAUUGAACUGUAAACAACAGAGACUUUGGCCAUGAUGGAGUAAGCAUUUAUUAUUCCACCCUAAAUAACUAAAAAUAGACCAACUAUAUACAACAAUUUUCAGACAUUGGACCGCAGGUGUCACAGAAGUGUAAUCUCUGACAGAGGAGAAGCAAAUGAGGUGAGACCCACAAGUGCCCCAGCUGACAACCUGGAGAGAGUUUCCACGCCACCAUACAGACCCUGUAGGGGACCCACUGUCUCCAGGCCUCCGUUUGCUCAUCUGUAAAGCGAGGGGUGGGCCAGUCACCCCGGCAUGAGCUUUGACAUUUUAGGAUCCCAGCCUUCCCGCUGUGGUUGCAGAAGUGGCUCUUAGGAUCCCAGCCUUCCCGCUGUGGCUGCAGAAGUGGCUCCUCUCCAGAACAGCAUUUAUGGCGUCUGGACUCCCGCCCCAGCUCCCUAACGGGGCAGGGAGCUCGCCUGCUCCUGAAGCAUCCGCCUCCCAGCCUCGCGCAGGUGAGGCUCAUCAAUAACGAUGGGCGAGGAUGUCAGGCUGCGUCUGAAGCCACCAGGGGCCCAGCAGGCUGCCGCGUGCUUUGUCAUAAACUAUGUUGUCACCUGGGGAAGAAUCAUCACCGAUAACAUAUUUCAGGAGACAAAAACAAGAGGUGCAUUGAUUUUUUCCACGAGGUCAGACAACUUCUGGGAAGGCUCCUGGAACUCAAGUUGUCACGGCAUCUCUCCCUGAAUAUCCGUUUGACCCGGGGUGUUAGUGGCCUCUGACCCAGGUGGGCUCUUUUUCCUGAUCACGGGCUGUUCUUUUCAGAGGCCAGCACCAUCACUGGCCUUUCUCAGACCCUGAGGAUCGAGGCUGACUUGGAUCCAGGGAAGAUUUGCUCUCUGGCUUCCCCUGAUCUGGCUCCGAGAAAGGUCUGCACAGGUGGCUCCGGGAGGGGCUCUGCUGACAGCCAAAUCUGCCAUUUGUUAAGCUUAUGACACACACCAGAGUGACCUGUCUAUUUCCCUGGCCACCACCCAGCCCAAAACUGAAGACAGAAUGUUCAAAAAUACAGUAUAUUAAUAGAAAAUCUGAGGCAUAGUGAGGCCAACAGAUCAGGAGACAACUGCCAUUAAAAAGGUAGUUUGCGGCCGUGAGCGGUGGCUCACGCCUGUAAUCCCAGCACUUUGGGAGGCCGAGGUGGGCAGAUCACAUGAGGUCAGGAGUUUUAGACUCGCCUGGCCAGCAUGGUGGAACCACCCUAUCUCUACUAAAAAUAUAAAAAUUAGCUGGGUGUGGUGGCGGGAGCCUGUAAUCCAAGCUACUCAGGAGGCUGAGGCAGGAGAAUCACUGGAACCUGGAAGGUGGAGGCUGCAGUGAGCUGAGAUCGCACCACUGCACUCCAGCCUGGGCAACAGAGUGAGACCCCAUCUCAAAAAAAAAAAAAAAAAAGGUAGUUUGUUACUCACAGUUCCCAAGAGGAGGGGAGCACCACGCCAUGCCGCGCCACGCCAUGCCACGCCAUGCCACGCCAUGCCAUGCCAUGCCACGCCAUGUGGGGGCCACACCCGGAGAGCCCCAGAGGGAGCAAGGGGCAGAACGCAGGCAAGCAGUUCCCAUGGGAAGGAACAGGCGAGGCAGGGUACACAGGUUUAGGACUAGCUAGUUUGAAUAAUUUCAGCAGGCUCUGGGACAUAGGAGCUGUCUGUAGUUGUCUGGUACCUGGCCCUGGGGGAUACAGGCAGGUGGAUAGGGGCCCAGAGUGUGGUUGGGAGGUGUGGGCUCUAGAGUGGGUGAUUUGUAUUUGAAAAGCACACUCCCAGGCCAUUGUCUGCUGUCUCUAGGAACUAUCUAAUCCUGGGAGGGACUCUCUCCAGUGUCAGCAAAGCCCCUGAUGUCAAAGUAUCACAAUACAGAGAAUAAAAGACGCGGCCCGUACGCAGAGCUGAAGUGGCUCUCUGUUAUUUGCAGAUGGAAAUUGGAAUCUCUACAGCAUGACAGACACUUGAGCAGAAAUUCUAAGCUUUUAUGGGUUGCCACAGGUCCCUUUCAGGAGGAUGGCGAAGGCUAUAGUCAUGAGCCGUCUAAGGUGGAGGUCACGAGCGGCAGGUGGCUCUUAAUAAGCACUUGACAUACCACUUCUCCCAACUGAGAUGUGCUGUACGCGUCAAAUCCGAACUGGAUUUUGAGGAUUCAGAAUGAAUAAAAGAUUGAAAAAAUCUCAUUCAUGAUUUGUAUAUUAAUUACAUGUUGAAAUGAUAAUAUGUUGGAUAUAUUGGGCUAAAUAAAAUAUAUUAUCAAAUUUAAGUUUGCUUGUUUCUUUUUAUUGUGUCUGCUAGAAAAAUGUCCUCAGUUAAAAUCACCUCAGUGGCUCACAUUCUCUCUCUAUUGGACAACAGGGCUCUUGACCUCCCUAGGGGAAUGGACCCAGGCACACAUGAUGCAGGUAAAAUAUGGUAUUGAGGGGUGUGAUUCCAGGAUCUGAGGGUACACCGACCCCAAGUUGAUUUCACUCUCUCUUUCCAGAAUUAUAGGGUGAAAAGAACCCUAGAGAAGGAUCCCUGGCCCCAGACACAUAACUAUCAGUGAGAACCCACAGCAUUGAAAAGCAAAUCUUUCCCAAAGCUUCAUGUUUUGAGCCAGCCUGCUGUAAAACUUUGUUAAAAAAAAUCAGUAGACAAUAAAGAAGAAAAUCAAACUUUUUAGCCUUGAUUAAGUGGUU
rnacentral:lncRNA from 1 species